rnacentral:lncRNA from 1 species
UACACGUACGAAAUCGUAGCAUUUUCUAACAGUGGUAUCAGAGCAUAGGUUCUGAUACGAACAUGAAAUCCUCUCAGAUCUGAUAUUUGGUUUGUAGAAAUCAGAUCUGAAGGUUAAUAAGAUGAUCACAUCAUUCUGAAGUAAGGUUGUCCUGGCAUAACCCUUGUUAUGCUGAACGGUUGUCCUAAAAUGAUGUAGAACAUCGAUUAAGGUU